GGGCAGGGGGAGACUGGGCGGGCUGGACCCUUAGAAGUUCCGCCCGGAAGCUCUUGCUCAUUAACUACAGAUGCGAAGCUCAGACCCUCGGUUUGGAGAUUUUCUUGGAGGUCGAGGCCCGGCGCCUCUGUCUGCACCCGAGGCGACCGCCCAGCUUACCCCCGGCUCUUCUGAGCACAGGGAAGCCUCCCAGCAAAGCCUGAAACCCUCUAAGUUUAGCUGCAGGCUUCGAACCCCGACCGUCCCCGCCCAGCCUUGGGCUGCUGAGGUGGGGAUGAACUGGGCGAAGGACACGUGGGAGUUAGGAAGAAACAAACAAGCAGGGAAGUGACCGAGAGACGAGAAUGAAUACAGGAAUGUCUGUCUGCCUGUCUGUGCAUACUCUGUGAAGCAAUACACCAGCAUUACAUGCUGACCCAAGGAUAGCCAGUACGCCUUCUGCAAGAGGAAAGUUUGUGUUUCAAAAUCCAUCAAGUGAAAGAGAACAGAAAAAUUCAGAGGGCGUCAUUCACGGUAAGGGUAUUGUCUCAUUAAAUUUUUGCUUAUGUAUAUAUAUUUAUGGGUGGAGUCACCACACAAAAUAUGUUUCCUCCUUUGGAUUAUGGAACAAAAUGUUUGAAACCCUAGAUUUAGGCCCACAUCAUUUCUCACUUGGACUGCUUAAAACCUGGAAUGUUUAUUCUUGGCACAAUAAGAAGCCAAAUACUUUACAAUGGCCUAACGACCCAGCAUAGUCUUAUGCCUCCUUCCUCUCCGACCACAUCUUCAUCUCUCAUCCUCCUCACUCAUGCUGCAGUCACACUACCUGCUUUUCACUGAACACACCAGUCUCCCCACCGCCAGGACACUGUACUUGCUAUUUCCUCUGCAUAGAUUGUUCUUCACAAUAUUUGCAGAUGCCUUCUGCCUGGUCUUAGCACGAGUGACAUCUCCACAAAGUAACCUGUUGAAAACGUCCCCAAUUUCCAUUUUCUUCUAUUUAUUUCAUGUUACUUAUUAUUAUAUGGAAUUAUGUUUAUUUCUUUUUUCAGACAUCUUUACUCCCCAUCUCUCUUUGCUACAGUAUUUAAGUUCUAAGAGAGCAAAGUCUUCCUUGUCUGCCUCCUUCACUGAUAAAUAUUCAGAGCCUAAAAUAAAGCCUGGUAAAUAGUGCAUACUGAAUAAAUAUUUACUUUUUAUUAUU